CCUACGGGUGGCAGCAGUGGGGAAUAUUGGACAAUGGGCGAAAGCCUGAUCCAGCAAUGCCGCGUGUGUGAAGAAGGCCUUCGGGUUGUAAAGCACUUUCAGUGGGGAAGAAAGCCUUGGGGCUAAUACCCUCGAGGAAGGACAUCACCCAAAGAAGAAGCACCGGCUAACUCCGUGCCAGCAGCCGCGGUAAUACGGAGGGUGCGAGCGUUAAUCGGAAUUACUGGGCGUAAAGCGCGCGAGGCGGUCUGAUAAGCCGGUUGUGAAAGCCCCGGGCUCAACCUGGGAAGGGCACCCGGAAGGGUCAGGGGAGAGUGUGGCAGAGGAGGGUAGACUUCCGGGUGUAGCGGUGAAGUGCGUAGAGAUGGGGAGGAAUACCGAGGGGGAGGGCAGCCUCCUGGACGGACACUGACGCUAGUGUGCGAAAGCGUGGGGAGCAAACAGGAUUAGAUACCCUGGUAGUC
rnacentral:rRNA from 1 species